rnacentral:rRNA from 1 species
CCUACGGGUGGCAGCAGUGGGGAAUAUUGGGCAAUGGGCGCAAGCCUGACCCAGCAACGCCGCGUGAAGGAAGAAGGCUUUCGGGUUGUAAACUUCUUUUAUCAGGGACGAAGCAAGUGACGGUCCCUGAUGAAUACGCCACGGCUAACUACGUGCCAGCAGCCGCGGUAAUACGUAGGUGGCAAGCGUUAUCCGGAUUUACUGGGUGUAAAGGGUGCGCAGGCGGAAGAUCAAGUCAGCGGUAAAAUGGAGAGGCUCAACCGCGUCGAGCCGUUGAACCUGGUUUUUUUGAGUGAGCGAGAAGUAUGCGGAAUGCGUGGUGUAGCGGUGAAAUGCAUAGAUAUCACGCAGAACUCCGAUUGCGAAGGCAGCAUACCGGCGCUCAACUGACGCUCAUGCACGAAAGUGUGGGUAUCGAACAGGAUUAGAUACCCCAGUAGUC